rnacentral:rRNA from 1 species
UACGUAGGGGGCUAGCGUUGUCCGGAAUCACUGGGCGUAAAGGGUGCGUAGGCGGGUCUUAAGUCAGGGGUGAAAUCCUGGAGCUCAACUCCAGAACUGCCUUUGAUACUGGCUAUCUUGAGUACGGAAGAGGUAUGUGGAACUCCGAGUGUAGAGGUGAAAUUCGUAGAUAUCGGAAGGAACAUCAGUGGCGAAAGCGACUUCCUGGACCAGUACCGACGUCAGGCACGAAAGCGUGGGGAGCAAACAGG